GUAGGUAACCUGCCUUGUAGCGGGGGAUAACUAUUGGAAACGAUAGCUAAUACCGCAUAACAAUGGAUGANACAUGUCAUUUAUUUUGAAAGGGGGCAAUUGCUCCACUACAAGAUGGACCUGCGUUGUAUUAGCUAGUAGGUGAGGUAAUGGCUCACCUAGGCGACGAUACAUAGCCGACCUGAGAGGGUGAUCGGCCACACUGGGACUGAGACACGGCCCAGACUCCUACGGGAGGCAGCAUG
rnacentral:rRNA from 1 species